UAGGAAAGCGAGUCUUAGAAGAAUAUAUAAAAUGCAUCCCAAAGAACCAAAAAGGAGUGCGUUUUUAACCACUCGUCAUUGGAAAUCGACAGCAUCAUAACUCCUGUGUUAGUCUCCCAGGACCACCGUAACAAAGUACCAUACACGGAGCAGCUUAAGCAACAGAAAUUUAUUAUCUCACAGCUCUGGAGGCUCCACAUCUGAGAUCCACGUGUCAGCGGGGCCAUGCUCCCUCACAGGGUGCCAGGGAAGGGUCUGUUCCACACCUCUCUCCAGCUCCUGGUACUUCCUCGGCUGCAGGCCCAUGCAAAGGUGAAAUUUCCACCGAGCUACAUAUAGGGUUAAAUCAAGGGGAAGAAAGCAGAACUUGGAAAAACCGACUGUGGGUGUUAAGCAAUCCCCCAGCUGUUUGAAAAAGAGUCUGAGGAUUUCAGGGAGCCCAGAGUUGGGCCAGCUCCCCAGCCCUCUGGGCAGCCCCCAGGCUCUGCACCCUGCCCUUCCACUUUGCUCCAAGUCUCUCAAGAGCCCAGUGUGGUUGGCGGAUGUCUGGGGCAAAGACACAGAUGUCAUUAUUUUGAGCCCCUCCUCAACCCUGCUGCCCCCUGAAUGGCCAGACCAUAGGUCAAAACCAGGGGUGCAGCUGAUGGACCACAGCAGCAAAGAUGCUCCAUUUCCCUCAAAAAAACACCCCAUUGUUUCUGCAGAGCAGCAAAGCCAACCAGGGACUCACCAGGUCCUGGCUGGGGAAGAGAGAUCUCAGCUGUUACAGGCGUUGAAGUCAGGAAACAGGACCCCAGAAACAACUCUCAAGAAACCAACUUGCUUGGCUCAGUCUCCCCGAAAUCCUGUGGCCUGCAGCCUUUGGAACUGGGUUUAUUUAUUCAUUUGAAUUGGAUCCUGGCAUUUCUUUGUGUUUGUUCUCUCCAUAAAGACCUUUUUAUUUGGGUCCUGGAGAGCUGUUUACUGCUUAGCUCAUGUGACAUGAAGAUUGUGAGGACCUGGAGGCCUUAACUCCUGUUACUCCCCAGCGAACUCUGCCCUCCAGGGAAACAGGUGGGGCUCCAUCCAGAUAAGAACAGCCUUUCCAAACAGGAACGACCUCACUCCCCAAACGCAAAGAGCUUAGAGAUUAAAAAUGCAGGCAACCUCCUACCCACUCAUCCCAGGAAGGUGCAGAGUCCUAGGGACCCACUGGGAGAGGGCUGGAUUGCUGUAAUUAAAAGUACUUUUAAAUGAGCA
rnacentral:lncRNA from 1 species